rnacentral:rRNA from 1 species
GAUGAACGCUGGCGGUAUGCCUAACACAUGCAAGUCGAACGGAGUUCUUCGGAACUUAGUGGCGGACGGGUGAGUAACACGUGAGAACCUACCUUCAGAAUGGGGACAACAGUUGGAAACGACUGCUAAUACCCAAUGUGCCGAAAGGUGAAAGAUUUAUCGUCUGAAGAUGGGCUCGCGUCUGAUUAGCUAGAUGGUGGGGUAAGAGCCUACCAUGGCAACGAUCAGUAGCUGGUCUGAGAGGAUGAGCAGCCACACUGGGACUGAGACACGGCCCAGACUCCUACGGGAGGCAGCAGUGGGGGAAUUUUCCGCAAUGGGCGAAAGCCUGACGGAGCAAUACCGCGUGAGGGAGGAAGGUCCUUGGAUUGUAAACCUCUUUUAUCAGGGAAGAAGUUCUGACGGUACCUGAUGAAUAAGCAUCGGCUAACUCCGUGCCAGCCGCCGCGGUAAU